rnacentral:rRNA from 1 species
UACGUAGGGGGCAAGCGUUGGUCCGGAUUUAUUGGGCGUAAAGAGCGUGUAGGCGGUUAUACAGGUCCGCUGUGAAAACUGGAGGCUUAACCUCCAGACGUCGGUGGAAACCGUAUAACUAGAGUCCGGAAGAGGAGAGUGGAAAUUCCUGGUGUAGCGGUGAAAUGCGCAGAUAUCAGGAAGAACACCCGUGGCGAAGGCGGCUCCUCUGG